GCCAGCCACCACCUCACCAGCCUUCUGUGUGACAGUGUGUUGCAGACGUGUUUCCUACUGCUACAGAAAACUCAGCCUCUGCCUGGUCACAUGUGGCAUGGCAGCUUUGAGAACAGAAGCCUGUGAUGAAGCAACUACAGGUUGGCCAGGAACCUGGUAUAGAUUAAUGAGUGGGUAAUCAUAUACUCUAUCUGGGAGUAUAUGAGGGAGAAUGAACUCAAAACAUUGAAAAGAAUGAGCCAAUUGGGAAUUUGAGACAGAGACUGCUAGGGCCCACCAAUAUCUGGGUGCUCUGCUCCUUCUGUGGGCAUAGCUAGACAACAUUUC
rnacentral:lncRNA from 1 species